rnacentral:lncRNA from 1 species
AGAAUUUCUUUCUUCAAUAGAAUUUUGCCAUUUAAUCAUAUGUCUGUUACCAUCUGCCAUGUGUAGACUUGUUCAUGUUGUUUGUAUAAUGUACAGGUAACUAAUUUUUUUGUAUAAUGUACAGGUAACUAAUUUUGGGGAUAGAGUUAUCUCCCUUAGUCAUCAAGAUUUUGUUUAUCUAUAUAAUCAUGACAUAAAAUUGAGAAUGGAAAUAGGGAAUAUGCCAAAGAGACAACAACCCGACCAUAGGAAAAAAAAAAAAAAAAAACAACAGCAGAAGGUCACCAACAG